GGUGAGAUGGCCGAGCGGUCUAAGGCGCCAGACUAAGGAGACCAACGCAUUUGAUGCGCGCUAAAAUCUGGUCACAUUGUGGCGUGGGUUCGAAUCCCACUCUCAUCA
rnacentral:tRNA from 1 species